ensembl:lncRNA novel transcript
GUAGCCGGUGCGCGGGGUGGCUGGGGCUACGUGCAGAGCUGUCGCGGAGCCGGAGCAGCAGCGGUGAAGCCCCUCGGCUCGGCCGAGACCGCCGUGCCCAUUGCUCGCCUCGGUUGCCGCCGCUUUAGCCGCAGCCGCUGCUGCCGCCGCCGGGGGAGAGGCAGCCUAUUGUCUUUCUCCGCGGCGAAGGUGAGGAGCUGUCUCGGCUCGGCCCGCGGGGGAGCCCCGGGAGCCGCACGGUGGCAUUUUUCAACUCCGCUGGAGCCAAUGCCCAGGAGGAACAAAGGGUGUGCUGCCAGCCCCUGGCUCACCCAGUGGCCUCGUCCCAGAAAAAGCCAGAGGUAGCGGCCCCAGCCCCAGAGAGUGGGGGUGAGUCUGUGUUUGGGGAGACCCACCGGGCCCUGCAGGGGGCCAUGGAGAAGCUGCAGGAAAGUACAUCAGCCAGGGGGCAGUGUCAGA